ACCUGGGUGGCUCAGUCAGGUGAGCACCUGACUUCAGCUCAGGUCACGAUCUCAUGGUUCAUGGGUUCAAGCCCCACUUCAGGGU
rnacentral:tRNA from 1 species